UCCCAUCCCACCGGCUCCGGCCGCCGCCCCCACUCCAGGCUCCGGCUGCUGCCCUCGCUCCUGUCUCCCCUCGCUUCGGCCGCUGCCCCGCUCCCAUCUCCCCUGGCUCCGGCCGUCUCCCCGCUCCCAUCUCCCCUGGCUCAGGCCGUCGCCUCUCUCCCGUCUCCCCCGGCUCAGGCCGUCGCCUCGCUCCCGUCUCCCCCGGCUCCGGCCGCCGCCCCGCUCCCGUCUCCCCCGGCUCCAGCCACCGCCCCACCCCCGUGUCUACUAGGUCCAGCUGGCACCUCGUCCCCAUCUCCUCCACGACCCCAUCGAUGUCCAGCUCGCCUCCCAUGCAAUGCCUGUAGGCCCUCGCGCAAAUCAUCCUUGCUCCUCCCGAGACCAAAGCACGCAGCCGCCGGCAACCUGGCCGCCGUGCGUCACUGCCGGCCGCGUUCCUCCGCGCCUCCCCAAUCCACCACACAUCGCCACUGCCGCUCCAGCGUCGCCCUCUGCCGCCUAAGCUCACAGUCCGUUCAAAUUCAGUCACCAGGCCGUUCAUCACCACCACCAAAGCCCGUUCAUUUAGCGUCGUUCAUGGAGCUGCCAAUGUGGUCGCUGGGGCUAGAACUGUAAGAUCUGCAGCUCAUCAGUCCAACUUCUUGCUCCGUCGCCGGUCACUCAAAAAAGAGCCGUGUGCAGGCCACCUCGUGCUCGGCCCCCUGAUCCGGCAUUUUUGGUUUCUCUAUUUUAUGUUACGAUGGUAGUGACAUUGGAGAAGAAAGGUGUGUCGAGGUACAAAUCUUGAGUUUUUGGAGGUUCAAUGCAUUGCUGCUAAAAGCAGCAUCCAGGACGACCUCGACCUACUGCCACUAGCAGUUGGUGCACCUCCUGUUAGUUGCUAGCUGUUACCUAGCGUGCUUGAUGCUACCGCUACAAAGAAGGUACACAUGAGCUUCAUCUGCAAUGGUUAUCCGCCCUAGUGCUUCAAAGAUGCUUAUUUUGUUUCCCCUGUGACGCAACAAGGAUGAUAGUGACGACACUUACAAAAUUGUUUUCUGUGUUGCUAUGUUGUCAGUCCAAAGUGUGGUGAAGAUGUAGUCCUGGGUGUGUAGAUGAUGUGGUGUGUGUCUGGUUGUGUGUGUGUGCAUGAUGAUUGGUGGCUGUUGUGUGUGUGUGUGCAAGGUACCCGGCGACAGCGGAUAGGCGGCAAGUGUACUGGUGAGCAGCUACCCAGAAAAUACUGGAACAAGGCUUCCAAAGUAAGCUCCUUGCUUCUUGCUUCUCUUUAAAUCUCUUGAGCUUUACAUGGUAUGUUCAAGACAAGUCCUCUAGUGGUUGUAUUGUAUGACGUUCGUUUAAAUGAUCGGCUAUACUGACACCGCAUACGUGGAAACUUAAAAGAAAAUAAAAGGUGUUAAUGGAGAAAUAUAAGAACAAAAACAGUUAUGUGUAGCCAUCUAGCAACAUGGUGAUCAGACAAAAUCCCGACAGCCACCCUCCAUGGUGAUCAAUUCCAUGUGCUGAUGGGUAUGCUUGCCUAGCACAAAAUUCAUAAACUGUCAAUUUAUUUUGAAUUGAACUGAUGCUACUCUUGAUUCAGACCUGAGGGGAGAAGAUAGAACUAGAAUGAUUCAGUUCAGCAUUGGCACCCCUGUAAACCAAACAGUGAAGAACACACCAAAUGUACUUUUGCUCUUGUUCUUUCUAUCUCCUGAAUUCCACACGUUCUGUGAUGAGCAUGCUUGGUACUAUAUAGAUAAUGUUGUAGUAGUUCUAACACAAUAUAUUAGAAGAAUUAAUUGACAAAAAAGGUGUCAGUUCAUAUAUGUAUGCAUCAGCUGUUCUGAUACUACUUCAGUAACCAGAAAAACACAAAAUUUCAACUAUACUUAUGCAAAAUAGUUCAAUAUUUUUUUCUAUGAUAGUCAAGAAAAAAAGAAAAAAAAGAGGUUCAUCGUGUGAUGAACAAUAGUCCCAACAACUGUGCUAGAGAUGCAAAAAAUUGAUAGCAUAGCCGAUGCUAUUUUUCAUCCAAUUUCUGAAGAAAACUGAAGUUGAUCAGAGUAACUGAAGAAUAAUCUGUUAGUUCUCGAGUAUGUGUAAUGCUACCAUUUUACUGUGCAUUUGAUUCCAUCGUGAUGGAUGUAUUACAAAGAUAUGGCUGUAUUAUUAUGUUGAAUAAAAAUGCUAUUUUGCUGCAACAUUUUCUAUCAGCUCCUCUCAAGUUAUACAUGUAUGUGAGGAUCCUUCUAUGUAGUAAGUUCAUAGUCGAGAAGUCAAGGACUUCGUAAAGAACGUGAACACCAAAAAACCAUUAAAAAACCUAAACCAUAUGUUAGGGGAGUUCAAGAAGUUCAUGGCUAGCUGUCCGUGUUCUGUAUUCUUAUCAGUUCAUAAUCGAGAAGACAUGUAUUCUUAUCAGUUUGUUUAUCUAGCCCGUCGUGCUGUGUAUUCUGGUCAGUUCGUGUGUGUAUGUGUUGCCCUCGCAGUGUAUGAGAGGCCGCCCAUGAGGAAGUCGUCGAUCUGGUCGAGGCAUGCUGCUAUUCUCUAUAUCCGGUAGCACAAACAUUUAAAAGUUCAAACACCAAACCCUGGUACUAUGUGGUGGCAUUGCUACAAUUCUCUUGUUACGUUCUCUUCGCCCAAAUUCGGAGGAUCAAGAAAAUAAAAUAUCAUCGUUUUGACAUGCACUACUCAAAAGAAGGCAUUUCUAUUGAAAAAUUGUUUCGCUUGACAUGUACUUGCCAACAAUUAUGUAUAAUAAAUCAUGGCAUUGUAUGUAGAAAAAGAUAUAUUGUGUGUUCUGCUGUUGUAUUGAGUUGCUAUCUAUUGCUAAUUGUAUGAUGUUGCUAUUGCUCUCCGUGUCAUGUUAUGCAAGUUGACACCGAGUACACAUUGGAUGAUA